GGCGAGCCCUUCAGCCUGCCGCUUUCCGGCACUCCCAUAACAUCGGACGCUGCUAGGCCCAGAUCAGUAGACCUAGUUCUUUCAUUCGAUACUACUGCAGAACCAAGCAGGCCUAGUUCAGUGAGGCCAC